AAAAGUAAUAGUUUGUUAAUUAGCCUGCUUAUCAACAAGUUGUAUGCUCGUAUUAUAUAACGUUUGUACACUAAGCCAGUCUGUCCUAUAUACACUUAGCCUCAGGAGAUCGGAUCUUGCUGGGCUAUAAAAAUGACAGUAACAUGUGAAUUUCUUUGAUGUUGUAUGAGCAUUUGUUUAAUUUACAUUGAAUGUAAAAAUAACAAUAUCAAUUUUUGCGGGAGUAGAAUUUGGUAUUUGUUAUGUCAGUUUUUCAUGCCCUUAUGAGUUAACUAAGAUUAAUAGUAAUUGGAUUUUGCCUAUUGUAUUAGACAAACAUCUUUCCACCACAUAGUUAAAUUCUAAAACAAUUAUAUUUCGUCUUUCAGAUUGUCAAAAUUAUGAUAAUUCAACAUAUCUGUCAAAAGUUCAGGAGGAAGAUGAAAAUAUUAAGAGGAAAAGAAAAAUGAAAACCUACCAAGAUUUUGUGACAGAAAGUGUGAUGAGAUCUCAGGUUGGAGACGGUAAUGAUACGCUUAUAGUAUGCCCCAGAUCGACACAGUGGAGGAGGACGAAAGAAGAAUACUAAUUAAGAUACAUGAACAUUGCUAUUUAUAGUUUUAACAAAAUAUUCAGAAUACAUUCAGAUCUAGGUUCAGUUAUAAAAUACAAAGACAAAUAUACAAUCAGUGAGUUGGAAAGAUGAUUGGAAAAUCCCAAACUCAGUGUGAUCAGUUCAGUGGUGAUAUAAGAAAAAACACAUGCAUGGAUGUUUACUAUACAAAAUGUCAGUGUUUAAUUAUUCAAGAAGGAUUUGUUUAUCUAAUUUCUAAAACAUGCUUAAUUAAUACAUGAAGCGUUAUUAAAGUACAUACCGUCAAGUUAAAUAGCUUCAAAAAUAUUAUGUAAAUCUUGCAUUUGUUAUAGUACCACAUUUCUUGUUUUGUACUUGUGAUUCCGAGUAUAAAAUAAAUUGCUAAAAUCAUAAGAA